GCCGAAGUGGUGGAAUGGUAUACACGUAGCGUUCAGGACGCUAUGCCCGUAAGGGCUUGUGGGUUCAAAUCCCACCUUCGGCA
rnacentral:tRNA from 1 species